rnacentral:rRNA from 1 species
AUACGGAGGAUCCGAGCGUUAUCCGGAUUUAUUGGGUUUAAAGGGUGCGCAGGCGGCCAUUUAAGUCAGCGGUUAAAUCGUGGGGCUCAACCCCAUUCUGCCGUUGAUACUGGGUGGCUUGAUUGCGGUCGAGGUUGGCGGAAUUCGUUGUGUAGCGGUGAAAUGCAUAGAUAUGACGAAGAACACCGAUUGCGUAGGCAGCUGACCAGACCGCAAAUGACGCUCAUGCACGAAAGUGCGGGGAUCGAACAGGAUUAGGUACCCUGGUAGUCCGCACAGUAAACGAUGAAUACUUGUUUUCGGCGAUAUAAUGUCGGAGGCGAAGCGAAAGCGAUAAGUAUUCCACCUGGGGAGUACGCCGGCAACGGUGAAACUCAAAUGAAUUGGCGGGG